UUUUUUUUUUUUUUUUUUUUGAGACAGGGUGUUGCUCCAUUGCCCAGGCUGAAGUGCAGUGGUGGGAUGAUAACUCACUGCAGCCUCAACUUCCUGGGCUUAACAGAUCCUCCCACCUCAGCCUCUCAAGUAGCUGAGAUUACAGGUGCACACCAAUACGCCUGGCUAAUUAAAAAACAACAAACAAACAAACAAACAAACAAAAAUAUGUUUUUUUUGUAGAGAUGGGGUCUCACUGGGUUGCCCAGGCUGGUCUGAAACUCUUGCCCUCAAGUGAUCCUCCCGUCUCAGACUCUCCAAGUGCUAGGAUUGAGCCACCACGCCCAUCUGGGAUGCCUUGUCUUUUAUACCUUUACUCCACAAAUAUGUGCUUAGGCAUUGCUUGCUGUGGCCAGAACCUUGCAGGGGUGAGAGACACAGGUAAAUGAGAGCUGGUCCCAGCCCUCCCUCAGAAAGCUGCUGGACCACAGGGUGACAAAACUGAAGCUGUCUGUCACAUCCGGGAGCAGGUGCUAUGAGGAUAAGCAGCCAGAGAAGACCCCUAACUUGAUCUGUGGCCAUCAAAGAAGGCACCCAAGGCAGGAUGCCUCCCUGAAUCCUAAAGCCAAUUAGCAGUCAGCCAGGACAGCUGCUAGAGGGGGUCUAAGGGGGAGUGGAGAGGAUGUUCCAGGCAGAGGGAACAGCAGACAGGAAGGCUCAGAGGUGAGUGUGAGCAGGCAGUCUCAGGGACCCCAGACAGUUGGUGAGGCUGCAGUGCUCAGGGGAGGUGUGCCAACAGGUAAGCUGGCAGGGCCGGGUCCCUGGGGGCUGGCUUGUCCUUUCUGCCAUUGUCUGAGAGAGUGGGUGGCUGGUAUCUGGUGGCCCAGAUGAAGAUAAUGGAGAUGCAAUUGUGUUCUUCUUUCUGCUCAGUGCCUCUCAGUUAAGGACAUUUGCAAAAAUUAAUAACAGCAUAUGCUUUUAUGUCCUCCACUUAAAUUUCCUUUGGAUUAAAGAAAGUAACGGAGGGAAAGGAAGAAAAGCAGGAAGGAGCGAGAGAGGGAGGGGAGAAAGAGACAAAAGAAGGAAAAUAAUUUGGGGAAAAAAAAUUUGUCCUUUUCUGGGCUAAGAUAGCCCCAGCCUUUGCAUUUUCUCACCCACUGAGUCACCAGCCUCCUGCCCUCUUUCAGGACUGUACAUCUUGGCCUCUUACCUACUGUGUCCGCGUCAGCCUCCCUCACAGCCUGAUGGCCCCUGCGGCAGCCCCAACCCGGUUUCAGGGGCUAAGAAAACUACAGUUGCAUGAACGGGUGGAGGUGAGUGGGAGGCAGAAGCGGCGGGGAGAACCAGUCUGUUCCGAGAUCUCUGGACCAACCAGUGGAUCCUGAUGGUCAGCCUUGUCUAGAGCCCCUUCCAGCGUGCAGGCCAGUCCUCCUGGCAUUCUUCUAAUUACACCGAGCUGUGAGUUAUGUGUGCCAAGUAUGUGCUGGAUUUUGUACCAAGUGCUUUCCAUUCAUCAGUUCAGGGUAGUGAUGCAGGUAGCUCCAGGCUCAGAGAGGAACAGUGACUUCUCCCAGGUCACACAGCUGGAAAGUGGCUGAGUCUGGAUUCAAACCCAGACUUCCUUGUUGCUAGGACCUGUAUUUUCAACCACUGCCUAUGCCUCUAUAACGAGCCAGCUUAUGGCUGUGUUCACGCAAAGAGAAAAGCAUCCAAAUGGGAAGGCUGGAGAAUUCAAGCAAUUUUCCCGCGUGUCAGACAGUCCUGUUUCCCUCUCCCUUCAAAAAAAGUCCUGGAUUAUCUCUCUCUCUCUCUCUCUCUUUCUUUUUCCUUUUCCUUUUUGUUUUUUUUCUUUGUUUGUUCUUUCUUUCUUUCUUUUUUUUUUUUUUGAAACAGGGUAUUACUCUGUUACUCAGGCUGGAGUGCAGUGGUGUGAUCACAGCCC
rnacentral:lncRNA from 1 species